rnacentral:rRNA from 1 species
AUUGAACGCUGGCGGCAUGCCUUACACAUGCAAGUCGAACGGCAGCGCGGACUUCGGUCUGGCGGCGAGUGGCGAACGGGUGAGUAAUGUAUCGGAACGUACCAUUCAGUGGGGGAUAACGCAGCGAAAGUUGCGCUAAUACCGCAUAUUCUGUGCGCAGGAAAGCAGGGGAUCGCAAGACCUUGCGCUGAUUGAGCGGCCGAUAUCAGAUUAGCUAGUUGGUGAGGUAAAGGCUCACCAAGGCGACGAUCUGUAGCGGGUCUGAGAGGAUGAUCCGCCACACUGGAACUGAGACACGGUCCAGACUCCUACGGGAGGCAGCAGUGGGGAAUUUUGGACAAUGGGCGCAAGCCUGAUCCAGCCAUGCCGCGUGAGUGAAGAAGGCCUCGGUUGUAA